rnacentral:rRNA from 1 species
AUUGAACGCUGGCGGCAGGCCUAACACAUGCAAGUCGAACGGUAACAGGAAGCAGCUUGCUGCUUUGCUGACGAGUGGCGGACGGGUGAGUAAUGUCUGGGAAACUGCCCGAUGGAGGGGGAUAACUACUGGAAACGGUAGCUAAUACCGCAUAACGUCGCAAGACCAAAGAGGGGGACCUUAGGGCCUCUUGCCAUCGGAUGUGCCCAGAUGGGAUUAGCUAGUAGGUGGGGUAACGGCUCACCUAGGCGACGAUCCCUAGCUGGUCUGAGAGGAUGACAAGCCACACUGGAACUGAGACACGGUCCAGACUCCUACGGGAGGCAGCAGUGGGGAAUAUUGCACAAUGGGCGCAAGCCUGAUGCAGCCAUGCCGCGUGUAUGAAGAAGGCCUUCGGGUUGUAAAGUACUUUCAGCGGGGAGGAAGGGAGUAAAGUUAAUACCUUUGCUCAUUGACGUUACCCGCAGAAGAAGCACCGGCUAACUCCGUG